GAAAUGAAUAUUUCGGGACCGUUAAAUGUAAAUAACAAAAAUAUAAACCAUUUUAAAGAUAACAUUGUAGAAAAUUAUCCAAUAUCCUCCUCUACCAUGUAUAGUGUAACAAAUAACAACCCGAAUAAUUCAUCACAUGGUUUUAAUAUUAACCAUAUAAAUUAUGUAAAUAACACACAAAAACAAAGUUAUAAUUCAAAGCUUAAUGCGUCAAAUAAUAUGUAUAAUAUGACGGAAAAACAAAAUUAUAUGUAUAAAGUUCCUCAAAAUAUAUCUAGACAAUAUGAUGAAAAGGGGAGUUUGAAUAAUAAUAGAAUUCAUAAAAUUAAAGAAAACAAAAGAAAAAUGGAACCAACUAUUAGUAUAAAUAACAUACCACUUAUUACACCUAUAAAUUACAAUAAUAAUAAUAAUAUACCAUUAAAUUUACAACAUGAUAACAAUAAUGCCCAAUUUAUUAAUAACCAACAGAAACCAAUGUAUUAUAAUGAUAGAAUGUAUAAUGGAGAUAAUUAUAAAAAUAUAAAAUAUGGGUAUGAUAAAAAUUUAAUACCAAAUGAUAAAAAAAUACAAAUCGUAAAGGAUCAAAACAAAGAGAUGAUACAUGUCACAAAUAAACAUAAAAAUGAAAAUUUAAUGAUUAAAACAGGGAGAGAAGAUAUUUUAUCAGAAAAUAUGUCAAACAUAUAUUAUAAUAAAAUGUCAAACGAACAACAACUGUAUUUAAAGGAAAUGCAAAAUAAUAAAAAUAUAUUAAACUUGGGAAGGAAUUCACAGGAUACUAGUGAGAACAAUAAAAUGUAUGAUACCCAUACAAAAGAAAAUAUGCAAAAUAGAAUAAGAGAUGUAAAAAAUGUAACAGAAAAAACCUGGCCAGUAAUGAUAGAAGGUACUAAACCAAUGGUUCCUAAUAUAACGAAAACAGUAGUAACAAAACCAGGAAUAUCUUCAGAUUUAGUAAAGUAUGGACAAUAUGAAAAAACUAUAAGCGAACAAAAUAAUCAUAGAGUUAUAAAUAAAACAGAAAAUAAUGAAAAAUGUUUUAUAUAUGAGAAAAAUAUUAGUGUACGAGGUAGAAAUGAAUUAAAAAGUGAUAUGCGUACUAAAAAUUCUUUUAAUAAAACAUAUGUAAAUAGUGUAUCUUAUACUAGUGCAAAAGCUAAUACAGGAUAUCGACAAUUUUUAAAAAAAAUGGAAGCAAAUAAAACAAAUGAUGUAAAACUUAAGCACAGUAUUUCUAUAGAUUUAGAUGAAAAUUCAUUAAAUUUAGAUGAGGGGUUAAGAACAUUUGAUAGUCCUAUAGUUGUUGAUAAAAACCAUAUGUUAAAAAAAUGGAAUGGUUAUAAUUGGGAGAAAUUAGAGAAUGGGUACAAUUUUUUUAUUAAAGCAAGGUAUGAUAAUGAAGGUAAUAUAUGGUUAUUAAAUAAUUCAUAUGAAAUAUUAAAAUUAAUAAAAAAUCGAUUUAAAAAAAUAGGUAACCUAGCUAAUGAAGAAAUUGUUGAUAUUGAUUUUGAUAAAAAAAAUAUAUUAUGGGCUGUUAAUCGUAAGGGUGAAUUAUUAAAAUGGAAUAAAAUACAAUGGAAGAAAAUAAAAUAUACACGGUUUCAUAGAGUAAUAUGUAUUGCGUUUGAUAAUAAAGGGAACUUAUGGGGUGUCAAUUCAGAAAGAGUAUUAGCAAUUUGGGACGUAACAAAAAAAAAAAAAAAAAAAAAAAAAAAAAAAAAAAACAACAACACAAUAACUAAAGAAGUGUUAAUAUGUAAGUAAAAAUAUGACCAAUACAAAUGGCUUAAAUUAUAUUUUUUUUUUUUAUUUUAUUUAUUUUUUUUUUUUUUUUUCUCUUUAAGGAUCCAGCAAGUGGAUGGAAUUGUUUUGUUUUAUUUUUACAUUUUUUUAGUAGUUUAUAAAAUGUUAAGUUUAAAGUGUAUAUAAUGUUUGUAUGUACGUAUACAUAUAUUCGUACAUAUUUCAUAUAAUUAAUAAUCUUUAAUUUUUUUGUUUUUAUUAUUAUUGAUAAGGGAUAUAAAACAUGAAAAAAAAUGAGCAAAUGAUGAGCAUACAUAUACAUAUAUUUAUGUGCACAUGCACAAUUGUACUUGAACGUUCACACUUGGACAUUGGCACUUGGACGUUCGAACGUUCACACUUGGACAUUGGCACUUGGACGUUCGAAUGUUCACACUUGGACAUUGGCACUUGGACGUUCGAACGUUCACUCUUGGAAGUUCGGAUAUUCACACUUGGAAGUUCGGAUAUUCACACUUGGAAGUUCACAUUUGGAUGCAUGUUCACAUGAUAAAAAUAAAUUAAAAGAUGUGGUUCUUCA
ensembl:lncRNA